rnacentral:rRNA from 1 species
CCUACGGGAGGCAGCAGUGAGGAAUAUUGGUCAAUGGCCGAGAGGCUGAACCAGCCAAGUCGCGUGAGGGAUGACGGCCCUACGGGUUGUAAACCUCUUUUGUCGGGGAGCAAAGAGAGUCACGUGUGGCUCAUUGAGAGUACCCGAAGAAAAAGCAUCCGCUAACUCCGUGCCAGCAGCCGCGGUAAUACGGAGGGGGCAAGCGUUAUCCGGAUUUAGUGGGUGUAAAGGGGGCGCAGACGGCAAUGCAAGCCAGGCGUGAAAGCCCGGGGCCCAACCCCGGGACUGCUCUUGGAACUGCAUGGCUGGAGUACAGGAGGGGCAGGCGGAAUUCCGAGUGUAGCGGUGAAAUGCGUAGAUAUUAGGAGGAACACCGGUGGCGAAGGCGGCCUGCUGGACUGUGACUGACGUUGAGGCCCGAAGGCGUGGGGAGCAAACAGGAUUAGAUACCCGGGUAGUC